CCGCAUUUCCCGUGAUGGAAACGUAAACAAACAGUGUGUCACGAUCGGCGUUUCUGCCAAAUACCGAUAAUACCUACUCAUAUAAUUGAUGAUCAUAGGAUCUUAAUCAGAAUUUAAGAGUGGACAUCGCCGCUUUUCGAUAUUAAUCGCAAAGAACUCGGCCCAGAAAUGUUCUUGACAUAUGACCAAGAGAAGUCUAUGGAGUCAUUUUACCCAAAAGAAUAGGAAGAUCGGCCUGGAAGCGUUUCUGUAUGGACAUCAGCCGUGCAGCCCAUGGAAUCAUCAGAUAUAAGUUG